GUUUGUUUUUCUUCCACACAGUCUAUGCAAGUCAGAAUCAACCUCCAUCCGCCUCCAUCCUUUAUGAGACCUAAGACGUGAUGCAGCUCCAAUGGGAAAUAUCAGUUGUGUCUCUACCAAGGAUGCAGAAAAAGACAAGAUUCAGGCUUGUUUCCGGUAAGAAACGCUGACAGAAAUUCAGAAGAACGGGAGCUGCAUUCCAUUAGGACUUGAAUACACGAAAUGUUCGUCUCAGGACCUUCUAGAAGAAUGAGCUGGGACCCACUUUCCGAGUCCUGCUGGAACCAGUGACCGAGAUAUUGCCCAGGUGGCUGAGGCCUGCACUAGGGUACCUACCUCCUUUUCGGAUAGACUGUAUUCCCUUUCCAUGUUUUAGCUGUACCUGUGACACAGGACACGAGAGAAUGUGCUCAUGUGAAUACAAGUGAAGGACACCGUGGGGACUUGCCACACAGAUAUUUGUGCCCAGGGCACACCUGAAGGGACUCUGGACAGCAUGUUUACCAAAAUGCUGAUGGGUAUGAAAUUUACAUUCUAAAGGACACAUACAAAAAUAUAAAUUGGAGUGAAGGCAGUUCGCAUUUUCAAAUUGUAACGAUACCCACAGAUUUUUCUGAGUACGUUAAAAUCCUCAAUAGAAGGAAACAGGAGAGGAAGACACAGCAAGAGCAAAGAUUCCACAUUGAGGAGAUCCACAAAGAAUGAGGCAAGAGACGCCUGUACCAACCCAUGGUGGGGGAAAAGACGAAGAUGAGAUCCUGAGCAACUUGAGGAUUGUGGUAAUGGCAGCAGACACAUUCCCCUUGCAUCACAAUGGUCUGUGGUACCGCCUCUGCACCUUGGCCCAGGACCUAACAGCAACAAAAUAAGGAUCCAAGAGAGUAGCAUCAGUACCUGAAAACUCUGUCCCUGCCACUGGAUAGCACCUACAGCUUGGGGUAGUAGAUGCAAGAGGUUAACCUACUGCCACCACACAUCACUGCCCACGUCUGUGGAAGAAAAUGGCAACGGUCCUGUCCUAACGGGUUAACAGAAGUAAUUACAGAUUAAUGAAGUAGCAUUCUCCAGACAGGCAGCCAUCGAUGUCCAGGUUCACCCUGCAUCCCUCCUCUACGCCAACUCCAGAUGCUCUGCUUUUGCUAUAUUAAGAACACACAAAAAAUGAGUGGGAACAAAUGGCUCAUAUUCUGCUCAUGGAAUCACAGCCACUCCUGGCAAAAUAUUCUGCAGCCGGACCCUCACUGUGCCUCCUCUGCUCCUCUCCCUGAGAAAGGAGUCUUCCCUCUUGAAGUGUUGUCAAAGGCCUCGGAGACCUGUGGGCAGUGGAGGAUGCCUGGAAUCUUGCAGGGGAAGGAGAGUCUUCUGUGAAGAACGAGUUACUUGUGGUGAAUGUCUACAAAGCUCAGAUGUGUUCAUCUUAAUUCAUAGGGAAUUCUGACUUUAAGCAUACGACAGGACACAGAGUCAUUAUGUGCAAUGGAAAAAAAGAGGGAGAAUUUCACAUAACAGAUUUCACGCAAGUGUUUUGGUAUAAAACUGGUAUGUGUCAUGAGACUAUAUCAGCUCUAACAGUGACUGGGGACACAACCAGCAACUGCUCAUAGAAACACAAUUGAAGGACACAGUGUGCAAAUUGUUUUUACCUAAGGUAUAGCUGGAGGAUUCCAGACAAGUCAUUUACCGACAAAGACGGACAGGUGAUGAGUGAUGAUAUUGGCUUUCUCUGUGACCACUCUAAAUGGCACAGGGCACAUAAUAGAAAGUUGGAGUCAUGAUGUCGUUUCUAACAGGUUCAUCUCCUAGCCAGAAUCAAGAAAGGAAGACACAGCAGCCACACUGUUCCCACAGAGGUGAGGUCUGGAAAGGAUCACCCAGGCCGGGAGACAUCUGUUUGGAGUGUGCAGUCAUCCUCCUCUCAUUAUUUCCUGAACCUCACGGAAAAACCUUAAGACCACACAGGAACAGGCUGCACAGCAGAAAUUGGACUGCAGCACAUCACAACGUGCUCCUUACCUCGCCUUGGAGGGUUCUUGCAGUGAUUGGUUUCUGCCUCGUGUAUCCCUCAGGCAGCCUCUUUGCUUCCAUCCCGUCCAGUCUUGGAUACAGAAAAAUAAUGGACUUCUAUAAGAGUUGCAACACCACGUCGUCUACUAGACAACUAACAGUGCAGGCGUCAUCCCUGGAAACACCCAAGUCAAAUGACCACACCUGUAUUUCAAGGUUGCAAAGACGAGGGCCAUGAAAUGGCACUACCACGUUGAUGGGUAUGAUUCAUUGUACGACACACUGCUUUCCUACAGAUGACGACAAUUGACACCACCCCCGAGGAAUGUUAGCAUGGACAAAGUUUCCACACAGUCUGGUCACUACUUGAGAUCUGCAAAUGUUUAGAAACUUAAUUAUUUUAUUCUUUCUAAAACUUACCUUUUUUAUCUGUUAAUACUCUAUGCAUAUGUUGACUUUAAACUUUUCAAAAAGAUUAAAAACCAAAAAAUGAA